CCAGGAGCCUCUUGGAAGCUAACAGUGUAAGGAGCGUCUGCUACUUUCCCCUUCUCUUCUUGCCUCCGCUCCGCUCAGCUUGACCGGGCGACCCGCGGCUUGUCGGGUGCAGCGGAAGCUCCCAAGUAGCUGAGAAGUUCAUGGAAUCUCCUUAUUGGUACAACUUUCACUAUUGUUUGUGUGGGGUACGGGUGAGCAGACAUUUCUCAAGCACACUGUUCACAUACACAGUACAUGGAGACUUGACUUCAAAAAGGCAAAAGAAAUAGGUUUGAGCAAUUGGUACCCGGACACAAGAAGGCUGGGAGAGAUCAGGAGACCAAAUGCCACACAGAGUGGACCUUAAGACAUGAGACCAGCGAGGACACAGAAUGGAGAAGGGCAAGAGAAACAUCAUCAGGGGUGGGGAGGACAGGGGAGCGAUGAAGGAACAUGGAAAUGAUAGAGGGCAGCUCUUCAGAUGUAUCCUAGAAAUCCUAAAACUUGCACAAGCCUACACCUGCAUGCACAUACUCAUACCCGGCCUAGAUUGAAGAAGAGCAGCUCUCAAUGUUUGCUCUGUGCCUGUAUCUUCCAGAACACCUCCCUGCUAGAGGCGUGUAGCCUUCACUGUCCAAAGAGUCUGAAUCAGAGGUCUAGGUCAGGCCCACAUGUCUGCUGCCAUGUAAUACUUGUAAGCUGGGCUCAUUCUUGGUCAGGACAAUAGGCUGCUGUGAAUACUAGCAGCUUGGAGAAGGCAGCAUGGUAUCCUGCGGUGCCUCUGUUAAACCACCCUGUCAGGUCAGCCUGAGCAGCUUCCCUCCGUGGACCUCAGUUUCCCUCAACUAUAAAGUGAAGGCCUUCGUUGGACUCCCGAGUAACUGUAACACUCAAACUUCUCUGAAAUCGGGUAUGUGGGGUUCCCUCCUCCCUGAGGAGCUGGGGGGUGGGCUACUUUUUAGAAAACCUUGAAUCUGAGGCUACAUCCCAAUUUGGUGAUUCCACCUAAAUGAUAUGUUUUCUCCAAAAAGCACUUUACCACAUUCUCUCAUCUAAUAUUUAUAUUGAGAACUGAUGAAAACAUCAGGAGCAAAUUAUGUGGAAGUGGCUCAGAUGUGUUCCCUGACUCAGGUGGACUUGAGGGGCUGGGGUGGAAGAGAGAAAGUGACUAUCACUGGUGCUCAGGUUUAAAACAAUGAAGAAAAAAUGGAGCUUAGACCUUAAUCCUUUCAUAAAACAUUCUCACCCCAAGUUGGUCACUAAAUUCCUGGGAUUAGCCUCCUCUCUCCCACGCAAUGCUUGGUUGGACCUAUUGUCACCCCUUUUCCCCUGUGAGGCUGCCCUCAACAUUUUUUUUUUUAAAGCUGAACUGCAAACUUUAUUCAGAUCCAAUCCAGGGUCCCACACUGCAUUUCCUUCAUCUUUUCCAACCUGUACCAAUUCCUCAUCAUUUCCCUGUCUUUCAUGACCUUGACACUUUUUUGAAGAGUUCUGGUCAGUUAUUUUGUAGACUGUCCCUCAGUUUGGACUUGUCUGAUGUUUUCUCAUGAUGAGACUGGGGUUUUGGAGUUUCUGUAAGAAAACCACAGAAGUGAUGUGUCCGCCUCAGUGCACCAUUCAGGGGUCCCUGCUGUCAGCAUGUUUCAUCCCUGGUGAUGAUAACCUGGAUGACUUGGUUAAGGUGGUGUCUAUCAGGUCUUUCGCUGUAAAGUGGAGAAUUCCAUGUGGAAUUAAUAUCGAUCAGCGGGGAGAUGCUGUGAGACUCCAGCAUUAUCUGCAACCAUUUGUAAUCCUUCUAUGUGUACGUUGGGAUGGAGGUAGGGCAGGCGGUGUGUUUUGUUCGGUGUACAUCCCAAAAGCAGAUCAGAGCUUGCUGUAAUCCCACUGCACAGUCAGAAUGGAAGAAACCUUUGCCACGGUGAGAAAAAAACUGGCUGCGUCUUGAUGGACAUAAAGGAAAAUGUGACAUGGCGUGUUUUACUGUGUCUGGCAAGGAGGGGUGUACUUUGAAUGGAAUUCUUUUUAUCCAUGAGUUCAUUCAGCAAAUGUUUAUUAAUAAAGGCUAACAUUUUU